rnacentral:rRNA from 1 species
GAUGAACGCUGGCGGCGUGCCUAAUACAUGCAAGUCGAGCGAACAGACGAGGAGCUUGCUCCUCUGACGUUAGCGGCGGACGGGUGAGUAACACGUGGAUAACCUACCUAUAAGACUGGGAUAACUUCGGGAAACCGGAGCUAAUACCGGAUAAUAUAUUGAACCGCAUGAUUCAAUAGUGAAAGACGGUUUUGCUGUCACUUAUAGAUGGAUCCGCGCCGCAUUAGCUAGUUGGUAAGGUAACGGCUUACCAAGGCAACGAUGCGUAGCCGACCUGAGAGGGUGAUCGGCCACACUGGAACUGAGACACGGUCCAGACUCCUACGGGAGGCAGCAGUAGGGAAUCUUCCGCAAUGGGCGAAAGCUUGACGGAGCAACGCCGCGUGAGUGAUGAAGGUCUUCGGAUCGUAAAACUCUGUUAUUAGGGAAGAACAAAUGUGUAAGUAACUAUGCACGUCUUGACGGUACCUGAUCAGAAAGCCACGGCUAACUACGUG